CCUCAGAUGCAGUGAAUUUGAACAGCCAGAGCUAACCCUGCCCACAGUUGCUCCUUUGGAAGAAUCCAGGAACUCCAAGGAUACUGGAGUUCACCAUACUCCAGAGGAACUCCAGUUUCUUCUCCAGGAUCCUCUCCAUCACCCACAAGACCCCAGAAGCAGAGGCCACACUGAAUCAGGACUAAGCAAAGUGUUCAGGGCCAAGGAGAUGCAUGUUUUAAUACAUUUAGCAGUGGUGGCUGAGGAAAUCUUCUGACCCAUGCGGAGGUACAACACAAAUGAGUCCAUGGAUCUGAAGGAGUCAGUGUGCAUGAGGAUUCCAGACUGAUUAUUUUGAGCUUACCUUUCUGCUUCAGCUGGAUAAAUGCUAUGAGAAAAGAAGGGGGUAAAGUCUCCAUCCAAAUCUAGCCAUUCGAGAGAUCUGCAGCUCAUAAGAGAAGAAGUCUCACUGAUCUAGAAAAAGGAAGAGGUGAGGAAGGAGGAAAAACAACAGAGGAGUAUUCAGCCAAUUUUCAACCAUAUUGCUUCUGGUUAUUUGCUG